rnacentral:rRNA from 1 species
GAUGAACGCUGGCGGCGUGCCUAAUACAUGCAAGUCGAGCGAACAGACGAGGAGCUUGCUCCUCUGACGUUAGCGGCGGACGGGUGAGUAACACGUGGAUAACCUACCUAUAAGACUGGGAUAACUUCGGGAAACCGGAGCUAAUACCGGAUAAUAUAUUGAACCGCAUGGUUCAAUAGUGAAAGACGGUUUUGCUGUCACUUAUAGAUGGAUCCGCGCCGCAUUAGCUAGUUGGUAAGGUAACGGCUUACCAAGGCAACGAUGCGUAGCCGACCUGAGAGGGUGAUCGGCCACACUGGAACUGAGACACGGUCCAGACUCCUACGGGAGGCAGCAGUAGGGAACCUUCCGCAAUGGGCGAAAGCCUGACGGAGCAACGCCGCGUGAGUGAUGAAGGUCUUCGGAUCGUAAAACUCUGUUAUUAGGGAAGAACAAAUGUGUAAGUAACUAUGCACGUCUUGACGGUACCUAAGCAGAAAGCCACGGCUAACUACGU